rnacentral:sRNA from 1 species
CUGAAAUGCACUAAAUUGGGAUGACGGAGCGCAG